GACAAACGCUGGCGGCGUGCCUAAGACAUGCAAGUCGGACGGGGGCUUCGGCCCUAGUGGCGGACGGGUGAGGAGCGCGUGACUGACCUGCCCUUUAGUGGGGGAUACCGGCCGGAAAUGGCCGUUAAGACCGCAUGAGACCCGCGGGCGCGAGCCCUGCGGGGGAAAGCCCUCGGGCGCUGGAGGAGGGGGUCGCGUCGGAUUAGCUGGUUGGUGGGGUAACGGCCUACCAAGGCGACGAUCCGUAGCUGGCUGAGAGGACGGCCAGCCACACUGGGACUGAGACACGGCCCAGACUCCUACGGGAGGCAGCAGUUAGGGAAUUUGUACAAUGGGCGCAAGCCCGAUCGAGUGACGCCGCGUGUGGGACGACGCCUCUC
rnacentral:rRNA from 1 species